rnacentral:rRNA from 1 species
UACGUAGGGUGCAAGCGUUGUCCGGAAUUAUUGGGCGUAAAGAGCUCGUAGGCGGUCUGUCACGUCGGCUGUGAAAACCCGGGGCUCAACCCCGGGCCUGCAGUCGAUACGGGCAGACUAGAGUGCGGUAGGGGAGACUGGAAUUCCUGGUGUAGCGGUGAAAUGCGCAGAUAUCAGGAGGAACACCGGUGGCGAAGGCGGGUCUCUGGGCCGUAACUGACGCUGAGAGCGAAAGCGUGGGGGAGCGAAACAGGG